AAAGGAAGGAAGGAAGGAAGGAAGGAAGGAAGGAAGGAAGGGAAGGAAGAGAAAAGUCGAGGGAUGAAAUUGGAUAAGGAGUAAGUGUCUAGAAGCUCACUGACAUAGUGCACAAUACAGAGGAAUCCCAUAAUUUUGAAUGGACAGUAAUUUCAUUUCCACACAAAGUUAAUAAAUCCUGUUUAAGUCUCCUGGACCAUUCAGAAGUUCGGUAUUACUGCUCAUAAAAUGAACUAUUUGCUAAAUCCUUCUGCCUCUUUUCUUCUUUAACAUUCUUGUUGAACAAGAAGGGAGAGAAAAGCAAGAGACAAGUCUUCCCAAUAGGACUGGUAGACACGAGGUCUGGUUGGCACAGACCAAGAGAUCUCUGGCUGAGUUGCACGUGAGGAGUCACAGGCUUCUUGUCUGAUGCUGCCAUAUUAACUGCUGUCUCAUUUGUGCGGAAAGUCAACGUGUGAGAGUUUGGAAAUACAUGAAAACAAGAUACACUUUGUCAACUGGAUAGUGACUCCUCGGAAGAUGUCUACAUUGGAAUCCCGGAGCUUGUAAAUGUGCUAUUUUGAUUGCCAAAAGAGACCUUUGCAAAUGCGAUUGAAGCAGUGAGAAUGAGAUGAGGUGAUCACUCUGGACUGUCAUGAUGGACCCACCUUUAUCCCAAGCAUCCUCCUAAGAGGGAGGCAAGAGGACCACCAUCAGUAGCAAGAGCUGUGAUAACAAAUAGAGGGUGGAAUGAUACCUGGAAGACAACAUUGACAAAAGGAUGUAAAUGGUCUCCAGGAAUGAGAAAAGGCAAAGGCACCUCUCCCCUUUGAUGCCUGCAGAAGAAUCUAAUCCGGCUAACAUCUGAACAUUAGCUCACGAAACUAAUUUUUAGACAUCUGGCCUCCAGAUUGUAGGAGAAUAAUGUGUAUUGCUAUGAAUUUGUGGUUAUCCAUUAUGGGCACGAUGGGGAACCAAAGCAACGGGUAAAUUAUGAGAGGAGGUAAAAUAAAUUUCAAGGAGGAAAUGCAACUGCAACUGCACACCAGUGGUAUUGGAGCACUGGAGAAAGAAAAGAAAAGAAAAUUCUAAGUAGAGAGGAAUGCCAAGACAACCAAGCAGAAGUCAUUCUAAAUACCCAGUUGUCAUCUAAGAGAAAUUAAUUAUGCAAUAUUUAUUGAUUGGUGCACUCCAUGUAGACUUCUUUUAUUUUAUUUUCUUAAAAUCCUCUUUCAGCCAAAGGUCACUAUUAGUUUUUUAUAAUGCUAUCAGUAUGCUCCAGAGACUAACUCUUGAGAUGAUGUUCGUGCACCUUUGAAAAUCUAAAUUUAAUCAUAGCAUAGACGAGUUAUUCCAUUUACUAACAGUGUUGUAGGAAAAUAAUGUUCUUAUGUUCUUGGUCAUUUUGUGUUCUCUUCAUGUAUGAACUGAGUGCAUUAGUAUUUCACUACGGGUUAAAUUUUAAAUGGGGCCUAUUUUAAGUUUGUUUGUUUGUUUGUUUGUUUAUUGAAAUAGAGUCUCAUCGUGUACCUUUGGCUAGCCUGGAACUCACUAUAUGGAAUAGGCUGGCUUCAAACUCACAGAAGUCUGCUUGCCUCUGCUUCCCAAGUGCUGGGACUAGGUCAUGAGAGUAAAGGCUUGCACGACCAUGCCCAGCCUUAGUGCUUUUUUCUUGUUAACAUAGUUGACACCCAGAAUGAUUCACAGGAGGAAAGCAGUAUUUUAUUAUUGCUGUUUCACAGAUGAGAACACCAAGAGAAGAGGUGUCAAACAACUGCGUAAAAGUUAACUCAGGCAGCCAUUGUCUGAGGCUGACACCGCUGCUUUGUAACUAGCUAUGUUGCCUCCACUAUUAAGAUCUCCUAAUGUGGUAUGUAUGCUACGUUAGGUUUGUCAUGCAAGAUGGUUAAGUGCUGUAGUAGAAGAGUAUGGAGAAUUCCCUUCACAUAGAGAAGGGAACUGGGUUAUGUGCUCACUGGCCGGUGAGGAUAAGUUGGGAUCACCAGUUGCAUAAUAAACAAAUGUUUUCGGUCUCAAGAAUGCCGUGACAAUGGAUAUUGAAGACCUAAGGUUGGGUUAGGGCACCAGCAAGAAUGUGACACGGCUGGAACUUAGGGCGCAUGGAGUGUAUGGCUCUGUACUAGAAGGAAAGUUCUUGUAAAGGGUAGACCAGCUUUAUGCAUUUCCUACCUUCUUUGCUUCUUUAUUGGCUGAAAUGUCGCUGGUCCAACUUA